GACGAACGCUGGCGGCGUGCUUAACACAUGCAAGUCGAACGGAAAGGCCCUGCUUUUGUGGGGUGCUCGAGUGGCGAACGGGUGAGUAACACGUGAGUAACCUGCCCUUGACUUUGGGAUAACUUCAGGAAACUGGGGCUAAUACCGGAUAGGAGCUCCUGCUGCAUGGUGGGGGUUGGAAAGUUUCGGCGGUUGGGGAUGGACUCGCGGCUUAUCGGCUUGUUGGUGGGGUAGUGGCUUACCAAGGCUUUGACGGGUAGCCGGCCUGAGAGGGUGACCGGCCACAUUGGGACUGAGAUACGGCCCAGACUCCUACGGGAGGCAGCAGUGGGGAAUAUUGCACAAUGGGCGGAAGCCUGAUGCAGCAACGCCGCGUGCGGGAUGACGGCCUUCGGGUUGUAAACCGCUUUCGCCUGUGACGAAGCGUGAGUGACGGUAGUGGGUAAAGAAGCACCGGCUAACUACGUG
rnacentral:rRNA from 1 species